CUCGAGAGCAGGCAGAAGCCACUUCUUUACAGUUCCUGAUACGGAGUGUGAAGAUGCUGCCUUCCUGAUGGAUUCUAUCCCAGUUCCUUGAAGACAAACAGAGAUUAAAGAAAACUGCCUGACUUGCUCCUUACACCGACCCUGACGCAGUCUGAGCCCUAUAUCAUCGGCCACAUCACCAACCUGGUUACAGAUAAAAUUUGCUGUGACCAGUGGAGGAGUGGGACUGGAAAAGGAAACAGUGACCAGCCAAGCCAGGGAACCAUAGACCAGAGAGGCUGACAUGAGUGCUGGAUGCAUCUCGACCUGCUGAAUUUCUCCAGAAAUGAAUCGGCACUGACUGAAUUUUCAACAAAACAAAGAACCGUGCAUGCUGGA